AUGUUUCUGCUGCCUCAUCUGGGUGUGGUAGUUGACAGUGGAGUUGUGGAAGGUGCUCCGCAAGUCCGGGUGCGCCGUGGCCAUGGCGGUCGAGGUGGCGGCUGCCAUGGAAAUGGCGGAAACGGUCUGGAGCUCGCCGAAAGGGCCCUGCUCGCUGACGUCCAGCACCUGCUCGUUGCUNCACUAUGUAAGCCGCUCCCCCGCUCAUCCUCUUCUCCUGGAGGGGCGAGACGCUCCCCGCUCAUCCUCUUCUCCUGGAGGGGCGAGACGCUCCCCGCUCAUCCUCUUCUCCUGGAGGGGCGAGACGCUCCCCGCUCAUCCUCUUCUCCUGGAGGGGCGAGCCGCUCCCCGCUCAUCCUCUUCUCCUGGAGGGGCGAGCCGCUCCGCUCAUCCUCUUCUCCUGGAGGGGCGAGACGCUCCGCUCAUCCUCUUCUCCUGGAGGGGCGAGACGCUCCGCUCAUCCUCUACUCCUGGAGGGGCGAGACGCUCCGCUCAUCCUCUUCUCAAGGAGGGGCGAGACGCUCCGCUCAUCCUCUUCUCCUGGAGGGGCGAGACGCUCCGCUCAUCCUCUUCUCCUGGAGGGGCGAGACGCUCCGCUCAUCCUCUUCUCCUGGAGGGGCGAGACGCUCCGCUCAUCCUCUACUCCUGGAGGGGCGAGACGCUCCGCUCAUCCUCUACUCCUGGAGGGGCGAUACGCUCCGCUCAUCCUCUUCUCCUGGAGGGGCGAGACGCUCCGCUCAUCCUCUUCUCCUGGAGGGGCGAGACGCUCCGCUCAUCCUCUUCUCCUGGAGGGGCGAGACGCUCCGCUCAUCCUCUUCUCCUGGAGGGGCGAGACGCUCCGCUCAUCCUCUACUCCUGGAGGGGCGAGACGCUCCGCUCAUCCUCUUCUCAAGGAGGGGCGAGACGCUCCGCUCAUCCUCUUCUCCUGGAGGGGCGAGACGCUCCGCUCAUCCUCUUCUCCUGGAGGGGCGAGACGCUCCGCUCAUCCUCUUCUCCUGGAGGGGCGAGACGCUCCGCUCAUCCUCUACUCCUGGAGGGGCGAGACGCUCCGCUCAUCCUCUACUCCUGGAGGGGCGAGACGCUCCGCUCAUCCUCUACUCCUGGAGGGGCGAGACGCUCCGCUCAUCCUCUUCUCCUGGAGGGGCGAGACGCUCCGCUCAUCCUCUUCUCCUGGAGGGGCGAGACGCUCCGCUCAUCCUCUUCUCCUGGAGGGGCGAGACGCUCCGCUCAUCCUCUACUCCUGGAGGGGCGAGACGCUCCGCUCAUCCUCUACUCCUGGAGGGGCGAGACGCUCCGCUCAUCCUCUACUCCUGGAGGGGCGAGACGCUACAGGCUACAAUAACUGGUAGGACAUUUAUUAUGUUGAACGUGUUCUGCUACGAUUCCAGUUCUAUUUCGAUAACUGUCUGCUGCUACUAUUAA
rnacentral:lncRNA from 8 species